rnacentral:rRNA from 1 species
UACGUAGGGUGCAAGCGUUGUCCGGAAUUAUUGGGCGUAAAGAGCCCGUAGGCGGUUUGUCGCGUCUGCUGUGAAAACGCGAGGCUCAACCUCGCGCCUGCAGUGGGUACGGGCAGACUAGAGUGCGGUAGGGGAGAUUGGAAUUCCUGGUGUAGCGGUGGAAUGCGCAGAUAUCAGGAGGAACACCGAUGGCGAAGGCAGAUCUCUGGGCCGUAACUGACGCUGAGGAGCGAAAGCAUGGGGAGCGAACAGG